rnacentral:rRNA from 1 species
UACGUAGGGUGCAAGCGUUAAUCGGAAUUACUGGGCGUAAAGCGUGCGCAGGCGGUUAUGUAAGACCGAUGUGAAAUGCCCGGGCUUAACCUGGGAACUGCGUUUGAAACUACAAGGCUAGAGUGUGGCAGAGGGGGGUGGAAUUCCACGUGUAGCAGUGAAAUGCGUAGAGAUGUGGAGGAACACCGAUGGCGAAGGCAGCCCCCUGGGUUAACACUGACGCUCAGGCACGAAAGCGUGGGGAGCAAACAGG